rnacentral:miRNA from 1 species
GAUAUAAACGAAAGUUGUUCGUAUUCAUCAGGGCUACAACUUUGCUUAAUAUCCUCUUAACAAAUUACGCGUAUUGAAGGAGAUAGCAGUGCGCAUGCGCAGAACGUAACACCUUACGCUUGCAUAUUUUGUUGAGAAGAUAUUAACAAAAGUUGUUCGUCUUGAUGAGUGCUACAACUUUGCUUAAUAUC